CUGCUAGUAAGUAGGGAAGCCAGUGUUCAAAUUAGGCAGCUAGCCUCCAAAGGACUAGUGGGUAGAUGGUAAAGUGAUACCUCAUCCACUGCAACGGUAUAUGAACACAGCACGGGUUGCCUCUCUAGGAAGUGCUUCCUUCAAAACAAGAGGCGUUCAGGCAAUGACUACCAGAGUGAGAACUUCAGCUGCACUUGGGAUUCAGGUCCCUGGUGAUACUCAGCUCUGCCAAUUCCACUGCAUUGCACUACUUAGUAUCGACACGCUUUUAUUUUCUAGGUUUGGACGGAUCCUAUAGAUAGAUUUUUCAUCUUUGUCAGAAAGUAUGUCAUUCAAAGAGCAGAGGAUCAGUUUGGGAUCCCAGGUGAUAUCCCGAUUCCUAUCUAAAGAAAAGGUCUUGGUUUGCACACCUGUUCUGAAACUGCCUCUCUGCCUUCGUCUUGGAAGCGGACGGCAAUCUGAGCUUGUCAAAGUUUCUGUUCUAAAGCCAGUCUCUGCAGUGGGAAAGAUGCUACACGGCACCUGCAGUGCACAUUACUCUCAAGCAAGCUCCAGUCAGAAUGGACGUCAAGGUUCAAGCACGGCCAUGAGGCUAAAGAUAAUCCUGAUAAUAAGAGGCCAGGACACCAUUCAAGUCUCACCACCCAUUAUACAGCUUUCAAAACAAAGGAGUUUGAUAACGUGCUGAGUUCAUCAUCCAGCCAUGAAUUAAUUAAGAUGAGUAUACUUGCGACCAAGGUACCUGGAAGCAAAUUUUUCUUUUUUCUGAGGUGGGAGGCAAGGAUAUAACAUUGAUGCAAUCUGGCAACAAGACUGAAAACAUCCACUGGACACCUCAUUAGUUCCAUACACUGUACUGGAGACCAGACUGUUGGAACAAUCCAAGUAGGAAAAUAUCGGUGUUGCUGCCCUCAAGGACCUGAGUAUCGUCGGGAAAUGAAUGAACCACUCAAAGACCUCUCCUGCCAAAAAUAGAAGAGCUGGAACAGGUACUAUGACCUAGAGUAAAGCUGGGGAGAGAACUUUCUCAGGGUAGCUCACUCAGGAAUGCCCCAUCUUUAGGAACAUACACGGCACAAAGUAAGGAUUCUGCAUGAGAAAACUUCUUUUGAAUUUUGUCUUAAACAAUCAAUAAGACUUUGUCAUAUGGGGGGAAAAAAAGGAGUUACUCAGGGUAAAAAGCAGGAGUAAGUAGAGGAAUAGAAAUGGAACAUUUUGGGGCACCUGGGUGGCUCAGUUGGUUAAUUGUCUGAUUAAUCAUGACUCGGGUCAUGAUCUCAUGGUUCGUGGGUUCGAGCCCCAUG